CAGAUAGUAGUUUAAUAUAAAACAUGGGUCUUGGGUACCUAAAAUCAAUAACCUGCUACCUGA
rnacentral:tRNA from 1 species